rnacentral:rRNA from 1 species
AUUGAACGCUGGCGGCAGGCCUAACACAUGCAAGUCGAACGAGUGGCGGACGGGUGAGUAAUGUCUGGGAAACUGCCUGAUGGAGGGGGAUAACUACUGGAAACGGUAGCUAAUACCGCAUACCAUCGGAUGUGCCCAGAGGGGAUUAGCUAGUAGGUGGGGUAAUGGCUCACCUAGGCGACGAUCCCUAGCUGGUCUGAGAGGAUGACCGGCCACACUGUAACGGAGACACGGUCCAGACUCCUACGGGAGGCAGCAGUGGGGAAUAUUGGGCAAUGGGCGAAAGCCUGAUGCAGCCAUGCCGCGUGUGUGAAGAAGGCCUUCGGGUUGUAAAGCACUUUCGGCGGGGAAGCGUUACCCGCAGAAAAAGCACCGGCUAACUCCGUGCCAGCAGCCGCGGUAAUAC